rnacentral:rRNA from 1 species
AGUGAACGCUGGCGGUAGGCCUAACACAUGCAAGUCGAACGGCAGCACAGUAAGAGCUUGCUCUUACGGGUGGCGAGUGGCGGACGGGUGAGGAAUACAUUGGAAUCUACUUUUUCGUGGGGGAUAACGUAGGGAAACUUACGCUAAUACCGCAUACGACCUACGGGUGAAAGCAGGGGAUCUUCGGACCUUGCGCGAUUGAAUGAGCCGAUGUCGGAUUAGCUAGUUGGCGGGGUAAAGGCCCACCAAGGCGACGAUCCGUAGCUGGUCUGAGAGGAUGAUAAGCCACACUGGAACUGAGACACGGUCCAGACUCCUACGGGAGGCAGCAGUGGGGAAUAUUGGACAAUGGGCGCAAGCCUGAUCCAGCCAUACCGCGUGGGUGAAGAAGGCCUUCGGGUUGUAAAGCCCUUUUGUUGGGAAAGAAAAGCAGCAGGUUAAUACCCCGCUGUUCUGACGGUACCCAAAGAAUAAGCACCGGCUAACUUCGUG